CAGCCGCCACGGUAAUACGUAGGUCCCGAGCGUUGUCCGGAUUUAUUGGGCGUAAAGGGAGCGCAGGCGGUUUAGUAAGUCUGAAGUUAAAGGCAUUGGCUCAACCAAUGUAUGCUUUGGAAACUGUUAGACUUGAGUGCAGAAGGGGAGAGUGGAAUUCCAUGUGUAGCGGUGAAAUGCGUAGAUAUAUGGAGGAACACCGGUGGCGAAAGCGGCUCUCUGGUCUGUCACUGACGCUGAGGCUCGAAAGCGUGGGUAGCGAACAGGAUUAGAUACCCGAGUAGUCCCUGUCUCUUAUACC
rnacentral:rRNA from 1 species